UCGAUUAAAAUAUAAAAUAAAUGAUUUUAUACAUAAGCGUGACGAAGAAGGUGAGUACACAAAUGGAUAUAACAACGACCAUAACAAUAGUUUAGGUGUGUAUAAUGUUACUGUGACUCCUGAUACUGUGACAGGUGCUACUACAACUGCUGCCACCACAACUACUGCCACCACAACUGCUGCCACCACAACUGCUGCCACCACAACUACUGCCACCACAACUUCUACCACUGCCUACCACGACUGUAGAGACCAAACCAAUAACAUUAACUAUGAUGAGUAUAAGCAUAUCAUUCGAUAUAUACUCCCUAAUAUGACUGAAAACAAAAUAAAAUAUUCAUGGUGUGUUAUAAAAAGCAAUUUAAAUAUAAAGAAUGAUCAGGUUAAUUAUAAAGAAUUAUUUAAUUACAUAAAUAAACAAUCAGAAAAUGAUAAGAGUGUAUAUGUUAGUAAAAUUGUAGCUAGCAAAUUAAAAAAUAAACUAAUAAAUUAUCAAUUUAAUCCAUCAGAUGUUAAUUUGAAAACAAUAAAUUAUAUUGAUAAUAUCCGCUUAAAGGCUACCGAGUUUUCAAAACAGUUUAAACAAAUAAUAACAGAAAACGAGCUUAACGAAUUUUUUAAAGGUAAAGAAAAAAUCAGUAUACAACAACUUGAGAAUGAUAUUCUAAAUAUAAUUAAUGAAAGGGUAAAGUCUAAGGAAGAAACGACACAUGAUAGUUUAGGAAGUGCUUCCAUAACAAAUGACGCCCCAAAAUAUGAUAAAAAACUAAUAGAUAAUAAAGUACAAAAAAACAGAGAAACUGAAGCAUUCACAGAUUUUAACAUAAAAGCUUAUAUAUCCAUUUUAUUAAAAAAUAAAAAUGAUGAAGUGUUGGUAAAGCACUUUAUAGAUAAUUUAGAUGUCGACUAUUUAAAAUUAAAUUUUGAAAAUAAACCAAUAAAAGAUGCUUAUGAUGCAUAUACAAGAAAUAUACCACCUACAGAAGUACAUAAUGAUACCUAUAAAAAUGAAUUAAGUUAUGAUGAAAUAAAAAGAGCUGAAUAUUUAAUCGAAGAAAUUGAUUAUUCUAUAAGAAACAAUACGAAAGGUGUAUAUAUAGACACGAACAAAUCUAAUCAGAGCACAAAUGCUACUAAUACUUAUUCAAUAAAAGACUCUGACUAUUCCUAUAUGUCGAUGUAUGAAAUUUUUAAAAGGAUAGAUGUAGAUAAAGAUAGUUAUAUAACCAAAAAUGAUAUAGAAAAAAGCUUGAAGAAUUUAAAAAUUAAAAAUAUAACAGAUGAUGAUGUAACAAUAUUUUUAAAAUACAUUGAUACACAAAGAAAAGGAUAUAUAGAUGUAAAUGAUUUUUUAUCUCAAUAUCAACUAGAAGAUAAAUCGAUGAAUACUUGGAUAAAAAAUACAAACAAACCUUAUUUUAAUUUUAUUAAAAAUUUAAAAAAUGAACAACAACAAAAAACUAACAAUUACUCGAAGCAAAAAAAUAAGCAAAGGUCUAGUAGUACAAAUAUUAUGCAUAACAAAAAUGUAGAAUUAGCAGAGCAAUAUAAUGAUGUAAUCAAAAACUAUAAUCUACAAUUAGACCAAUUUUGUCCCUCUUAUGUUAUUAGAGAAAGAAUAAGAAAAAAUUUUAUAGCAAAUAAAGAUGAUUUUUUAAAUAAACAUAAAAAUGC
rnacentral:lncRNA from 1 species